AGAUUAAGUUAUUAAGGGCGCACGGUGGAUGCCUUGGCACUAGAAGCCGAUGAAGGACGUUACUAACGACGAUAUGCUUUGGGUAGCUGUAAGUAAGCGUUGAUCCAGAGAUUUCCGAAUGGGGGAACCCAGCAUGAGUUAUGUCAUGUUAUCGACAUGUGAAUUCAUAGCAUGUCAGAAGGCAGACCCGGAGAACUGAAACAUCUUAGUACCCGGAGGAAGAGAAAGAAAAAUCGAUUCCCUGAGUAGCGGCGAGCGAAACGGGAAGAGCCCAAACCAACAAGCUUGCUUGUUGGGGUUGUAGGACACUCUAUACGGAGUUACAAAAGAACAUGUUAGACGAAUCAUCUGGAAAGAUGAAUCAAAGAAGGUAAUAAUCCUGUAGUCGAAAACAUAUUCUCUCUUGAGUGGAUCCUGAGUACGACGGAGCACGUGAAAUUCCGUCGGAAUCUGGGAGGACCAUCUCCUAAGGCUAAAUACUCUCUAGUGACCGAUAGUGAACCAGUACCGUGAGGGAAAGGUGAAAAGUACCCCGGAAGGGGAGUGAAAGAGAACUUGAAACCGUGUGCUUACAAGUAGUCAGAGCCCGUUAAUGGGUGAUGGCGUGCCUUUUGUAGAAUGAACCGGCGAGUUACGAUCUGAUGCAAGGUUAAGCAGCAAAUGUGGAGCCGCAGCGAAAGCGAGUCUGAAUAGGGCGUUGAGUAUUUGGUCGUAGACCCGAAACCAGGUGAUCUACCCUUGGUCAGGUUGAAGUUCAGGUAACACUGAAUGGAGGACCGAACCGACUUACGUUGAAAAGUGAGCGGAUGAACUGAGGGUAGCGGAGAAAUUCCAAUCGAACUUGGAGAUAGCUGGUUCUCUCCGAAAUAGCUUUAGGGCUAGCCUCAAGUGAUGAUUAUUGGAGGUAGAGCACUGUUUGGACGAGGGGCCCCUCUCGGGUUACCGAAUUCAGACAAACUCCGAAUGCCAAUUAAUUUAACUUGGGAGUCAGAACAUGGGUGAUAAGGUCCGUGUUCGAAAGGGAAACAGCCCAGACCACCAGCUAAGGUCCCAAAAUAUAUGUUAAGUGGAAAAGGAUGUGGCGUUGCCCAGACAACUAGGAUGUUGGCUUAGAAGCAGCCAUCAUUUAAAGAGUGCGUAAUAGCUCACUAGUCGAGUGACACUGCGCCGAAAAUGUACCGGGGCUAAACAUAUUACCGAAGCUGUGGAUUGUCCUUUGGACAAUGGUAGGAGAGCGUUCUAAGGGCGUCGAAGCAUGAUCGCAAGGACAUGUGGAGCGCUUAGAAGUGAGAAUGCCGGUGUGAGUAGCGAAAGACGGGUGAGAAUCCCGUCCACCGAUUGACUAAGGUUUCCAGAGGAAGGCUCGUCCGCUCUGGGUUAGUCGGGUCCUAAGCUGAGGCCGACAGGCGUAGGCGAUGGAUAACAGGUUGAUAUUCCUGUACCACCUAGUAUCGUUUUAAUCGAUGGGGGGACGCAGUAGGAUAGGCGAAGCGUGCUGUUGGAGUGCACGUCCAAGCAGUAAGGCUGAGUGUUAGGCAAAUCCGGCACUCAUAAGGCUGAGCUGUGAUGGGGAGAGGAAAUUGUUUCCUCGAGUCGUUGAUUUCACACUGCCGAGAAAAGCCUCUAGAUAGAUAACAGGUGCCCGUACCGCAAACCGACACAGGUAGUCAAGAUGAGAAUUCUAAGGUGAGCGAGCGAACUCUCGUUAAGGAACUCGGCAAAAUGACCCCGUAACUUCGGGAGAAGGGGUGCUCUUUAGGGUUCACGCCCAGAAGAGCCGCAGUGAAUAGGCCCAAGCGACUGUUUAUCAAAAACACAGGUCUCUGCUAAACCGUAAGGUGAUGUAUAGGGGCUGACGCCUGCCCGGUGCUGGAAGGUUAAGAGGAGUGGUUAGCUUCUGCGAAGCUACGAAUCGAAGCCCCAGUAAACGGCGGCCGUAACUAUAACGGUCCUAAGGUAGCGAAAUUCCUUGUCGGGUAAGUUCCGACCCGCACGAAAGGCGUAACGAUUUGGGCACUGUCUCAACGAGAGACUCGGUGAAAUCAUAGUACCUGUGAAGAUGCAGGUUACCCGCGACAGGACGGAAAGACCCCGUGGAGCUUUACUGUAGCCUGAUAUUGAAAUUCGGCACAGCUUGUACAGGAUAGGUAGGAGCCUUUGAAACGUGAGCGCUAGCUUACGUGGAGGCGUUGGUGGGAUACUACCCUAGCUGUGUUGGCUUUCUAACCCGCACCACUUAUCGUGGUGGGAGACAGUGUCAGGCGGGCAGUUUGACUGGGGCGGUCGCCUCCUAAAAGGUAACGGAGGCGCUCAAAGGUUCCCUCAGAAUGGUUGGAAAUCAUUCAUAGAGUGUAAAGGCAUAAGGGAGCUUGACUGCGAGACCUACAAGUCGAGCAGGGUCGAAAGACGGACUUAGUGAUCCGGUGGUUCCGCAUGGAAGGGCCAUCGCUCAACGGAUAAAAGCUACCCCGGGGAUAACAGGCUUAUCUCCCCCAAGAGUUCACAUCGACGGGGAGGUUUGGCACCUCGAUGUCGGCUCAUCGCAUCCUGGGGCUGUAGUCGGUCCCAAGGGUUGGGCUGUUCGCCCAUUAAAGCGGUACGCUAGCUGGGUUCAGAACGUCGUGAGACAGUUCGGUCCCUAUCCGUCGUGGGCGUAGGAAAUUUGAGAGGAGCUGUCCUUAGUACGAGAGGACCGGGAUGGACAUACCUCUGGUGUACCAGUUGUCGUGCCAACGGCAUAGCUGGGUAGCUAUGUAUGGACGGGAUAAGUGCUGAAAGCAUCUAAGCAUGAAGCCCCCCUCAAGAUGAGAUUUCCCAACUUCGGUUAUAAGAUCCCUCGAAGAUGACGAGGUUAAUAGGUUCGAGGUGGAAGCGUGGUGACACGUGGAGCUGACGAAUACUAAUCGAUCGAAGACUUAAUCAAUUUUUAAA
rnacentral:rRNA from 1 species